rnacentral:rRNA from 1 species
GAUGAACGCUAGCGGCAGGCUUAACACAUGCAAGUCGAGGGGCAGCACGAUGUAGCAAUACAUUGGUGGCGACCGGCGCACGGGUGCGUAACACGUAUGGAAUCUGCCUUGUACUGGGAGAUAGCCCUCCGAAAGGAGGAUUAAUAUCCCAUAAUAGCUCGAGUGGCAUCACUUGGGUUUGAAAGCUCCGGCGGUACAAGAUGACCAUGCGCACGAUUAGCUAGUUGGUGAGGUAACGGCUCACCAAGGCUACGAUCGUUAGGGGGCCUGAGAGGGUUAUCCCCCACACUGGUACUGAGACACGGACCAGACUCCUACGGGAGGCAGCAGUGAGGAAUAUUGCGCAAUGGAGGCAACUCUGACGCAGCCAUGCCGCGUGCAGGAAGAAGGCGCUACGCGUUGUAAACUGCUUUUAACCGGGAAGAAACCCCAGGACGUGUCCUGGGUUGACGGUACCGGAGGAAUAAGCACCGGCUAACUUCGUGCCAGCCGCCCCGUAACAC